AAGCCCUAAAUUGUGUUUCUAAACGUAACUGCCACCAUCCCUCUUAUUACGUUUUCUUUCUUCAACUUCCAAUACAAAUGCAAUCAAAUCGAUCGAAAACACCAUCCCUCUUUUACGUUGCUGCACUACUUGCAACGAUACCAUUUGUGCUGCUUCUUGUGUGGUUGAAAUCCUAGGUGAGGUGGGCAUUGCCAUUGAUUUUGAGGGCUUGCACUUGUUCUUACAAAUUUGGAUUAAGGUGUUGCUAUUCAGAUUUUGGAAGAGAGGAAGUCCAUUGAUUUUUGCAAAUACCCCUUAUUUAUUCCUACUGAUCUUGAUUUGGAAGCCUACAUUGCUCAUAGGGUUUAUUAAUUUGGAAUUCUCUCCUGAAUCAGCAAUCUUACAAGUUGCGUGGUUGCAUAAAAAUGACUCAAGUCCAAUGAUGGGAGCCCUACUCUCAUUAUCACGCGGUCCUGCUCGAUAUGUGACAUCUUUUUAUGGUUACAUUGUCAAUGGGUAUAGGUUUCAUACUAAAUAUCAUGACCAAGGUUUGAGGACACAAAAUAGUGGAGUUGUUGUAAUUGGAGAUAUUGGUGAUGAAGUUAACAACAUAGAUUACUACGGUGUCUUAACUGAGAUUAUUCAAUUGCAAUAUC